rnacentral:lncRNA from 1 species
GAAAAGAAAACUCCUCAAAUGAUGUACAGAAAUUGAAAACUAAAACAAUAAACAAUAAUAAGCGACACACCACUUACCAAACCGAACGUGAACAUAAAAAAUCGAAGCACAACGAUUUGAGAGAAAGGUUUGUGAUAGAAUUAGAAAGAAGAAAGAAGAAAAAAUAUUUUGACAGUGAACAGGAAAGAGAGAAAAAAACAUCAGAUGGGGAAAUUUUAGGAAAUUGAAUUAAAAUAAAAAUAAAAAUUAAAAAAACUAAAAUCCCAACUCCCCACUAAAACCGACAGCCGAUUCUCAUCCAACAACCUCAGACUU